rnacentral:siRNA from 1 species
GAGUGCUUGAACUGGUGAGUC